GGAGAUUCAUAAAUUCACGAAGUACCCCGGAAAUAUAUAUGUAUAAAAUAAAAAUAUUUUUCAUGAACAAAUUUUGGUGGGUAAAAACCCUAUCCCAUCCCAUAGUAAUCGCCAAGAAAAGCUAUCACAUCCAAGUUAGCUCUUAACUUCCCUAAAAAACUUAUGAAUACGCAUCUACAUUUAUUGACCCAGCACAUCCCAUAUAUUGGAUCAGAACAGUAAGGCCCAGACUCACUAUCAUAGGUGCAGUAACGUUCAAAUCCUGCGAUAUAAACAACACAAAUAAAGGCAUGUUACAAAACGGAAUGAAAAGAUUAAACCAACUCUUUCAAAAGAAUGUGAAAAGAGACGUACCACCAUUGACUAUGACAA
rnacentral:lncRNA from 1 species